UCAGUGUUGAUGUAUUAUGUAAUGAGAUAGGUAUUGUUUGAUAGUUAUGUUCAGGUAGUUAGUUACAUUGGAUACAUAAUCUGGAAUUGCAAUACUAGCUAGGUUUGACUAAGGUUAAGUUCUAAAACGUGCCAUCUAAAAUAUGCUCCUUUUUACAGACUUAAAGACCAAUGGAUAAUAGUUUUUCCUGGAACUGAUCGGUCCCGACGAUCAGUUGCCUCAGGAUUUGAGGAUGCAUAUGGUCUGCCAAAUAUCUUGGGUGUAGUAGACUGCACUCAAGUGAAAAUAUUUCCCACCUGUGCCACACGGAGUGCAAUAUCUGAAUCGGAAAGGCGUUCACGCUCUUAAUGUACAGCUAAUUGCAGAUGUCAACUGUAAGAUCUUGGCAGUAAACAAGAGGUUUCCUGGCCGUGUGCACGACUCUUUCAUAUUUAACAAUUCGUCCAUUUAGGAUGAAUUAAGAAGAUUGUACAAUGGCCACAUUGGGGAGUAUUUCCUUCUGGGUAAGCAGAAAAUUGUGUAUCUGUACCUAGUGUAAAUUUAUUCGAUGGGGAGACGUGACGUACGCGUUUGCGUUAACUGUCAUUUUGUAUGGAAUUUUGAGUUUCCAAAACAUCCCGCUUGGCGCGCUGUUUCUAAAUCCCUUAGCACCACUUGCACCAUUUCACUAACUCGGGGUUAACUGGUUAACCCUGGAGUUACCAUGUUACCAGUACAAUUUCACAUUGGGUUAACGGUUUAACCGGUUAACCCCGGGUUAUUGGAAUGGGGCAAGUGCAUGUUAGUAAAUGUACUAAGAUCACGACCACAGAAUAAAUAGUUCAUGACUAAGUUAAUAUACCUAUCAUAAUGUAAAUAACCGGCCAAGAGCAUGUCGGGCCACGCUCAGUGUAGGGUUCCGUAGUUACUCUUCCGUCACAAUAAGCUAAACUGGAGCUUAAAGUGUAGUAAAUGGUACCUUUCACCCGAGUUAAACAAAUAGGCAAAUUUGCAUAAUCAGUACCUAAUUAAAGAAGUCUUUUUACUAUGAAGGGAAAACUUUUUGCGAUAACUCAAAAACAGCUAAACUGAUCAUGUCCGCUAUAGUUUUCAUUUAAUGUCUUUCUUAAGCUCUACUUCCACGAUUUUUUUCAUAUUUUUUGGACCUAUGGUUCAAAAGUUAGAGGGGGGGGACACAUUUUUUUUUUCUUUCGGAGCGAUUAUCUCCGAAUAUAUUCACUUUAUCAAAAAAUGUUUCUUGAAAACCCCUAUUAGUUUUGAAAGACCUUUCCAACGAUACCCCACACUUUAGGGUUGAAGCGAAAAAAAAAAUUCACCCCCACUUUACGUGUAGGGGAGGUACCCUAAAAAAAAUUAAAAUUUUAGAUUUUAUUGUACGACUUUGUCGGCUUUAUUGAUUUAUAUAUCCAUGCCAAAUUUCAGCUUUCUAACACUAACGACCACGGAGCAAAGCCUCGGACAGACAGACAGACAGACAGACGGACAUGGCGAAACUAUAAGGGUUCCGUUUUAUGCCAUUUGGCUACGGAACCCUAAAAAGGCAUAAGCAAGGGGGAAGUUUCGUUAGUUGUUCAGAUGAUUAAGUAUUAUGUAACCAAAAAAUAAUAAUUUCAGGUGACUCGGGGUAUGCUCUUGAGCCAUGGCUCAUGACGCCAGUGCUGAAUCCUGCCCCGGGAAGCCCAGAAGCAAGGUACACGGUCUGGCACUGUCGCGUGCGCAACACGAUCAAGCGUACCAAUGGGUACCUCAAAAACGUAUUCCGGUGCCUGGGCCACGACCGCGUCUUACACUACAGCCCGACGAAGGCAUCGUCAAUAAUAAAUGCAUGUUGCGUAGUAUACAACAUAAUGCAACAUUAUAGAAAUGUUCCCGAGGAAAUCGUAGGAGAUAUUGAUGAAGACGCUCCUCAAGAACUUCCUCAUCGUCAUGCGCAAAACGGACUACUAUUAAGAGUGGCGCAGGAAAAGCGUGCGCGUCUAAUAAAUACAUAUUUUGCUUA